GCCUCGCUGGCGAAAUUGGCAGACGCGCCUGAUUUAGGUUCAGGUCCUUCGGGGUUGGGGUUCGAGUCCCCGGCGAGGCACCA
rnacentral:tRNA from 1 species